GACGAACGCUGGCGGCGUGCCUAACACAUGCCAGUCGAGCGAAUGAAGUUCCUUCGGGAAUGGAUUUAGCGGCGGACGGGUGAGUAACACGUGGGCAACCUGCCUCAUAGAGGGGAAUAGCCUCCCGAAAGGGAGAUUAAUACCGCAUAAGAUUGUAGUACCGCAUGAUACAGCAAUUAAAGGAGCAAUCCGCUAUGAGAUGGGCCCGCGGCGCAUUAGCUAGUUGGUGAGGUAAUGGCUCACCAAGGCGACGAUGCGUAGCCGACCUGAGAGGGUGAUCGGCCACAUUGGGACUGAGACACGGCCCAGACUCCUACGGGAGGCAGCAGUGGGGAAUAUUGCACAAUGGGGGAAACCCUGAUGCAGCAACGCCGCGUGAGUGAUGACGGCCUUCGGGUUGUAAAGCUCUGUCUUCAGGGACGAUAAUGACGGUACCUGAGGAGGAAGCCACGGCUAACUACGUG
rnacentral:rRNA from 1 species